AAUUUACAUUAAAAAAUAAAAAAAUAUUGGCUUAAUUGUGGUCAAAGAUUGAAAAAUUUGAAUCUUGAUAUGCAUGUGGGCCUUAUAAACAGGAACGGAGGGAGUAACGAUGAUAUUUAGCAAUUGAUGGGCACAUUUAUCGUUUAAAUGGUAUGGCUUGUAUGCCUUGGUAACAACAACUAAUGAAACUUUGCAUUGUGUGUGAACAAUUUAAACUAUAAAUUAAGUGUUAUCACAAAAUGAAAUUAAUGUAUUGGAAAUACGAAAUGCCCAUUGAUGUGUAUUGGAAAUCGUGAAAUGAAAUUAAUGUAUUGGAAAAAGCGUGAUGAUGUGACAAUCAUGGAGAAAUUUGAGGACCGCUUUAUGAUUUUACACUACUUUGCGGGGGCCAGUUGUCAAUAAGGGUAGUGUCCGUUUAUAUUAUUACCCCACUCUCUUCCCUUGUUCGAGUAAGCUACUUCUACAUUCUUGCAACCACCUAAAAAACCCUAGUCUUGUAGCGCACCUCUUCCUCUCCCC
rnacentral:lncRNA from 1 species